rnacentral:rRNA from 1 species
GGGCCCGCACAAGCGGUGGAGUAUGUGGUUUAAUUCGAUGCAACGCGAAGAACCUUACCAGGGUUUGACAUCCUGCGAAUCUCUUGGAAACUUGAGAGUGCCUUCGGGAGCGCAGUGACAGGUGGUGCAUGGCUGUCGUCAGCUCGUGUCGUGAGAUGUUGGGUUAAGUCCCGCAACGAGCGCAACCCACGUCUUUAGUUGCCAGCAUUUAGUUGGGCACUCUAGAGAGACCGCCGGUGAUAAACCGGAGGAAGGUGUGGAUGACGUCAAGUCAUCAUGCCCCUUAUGUCUUGGGCUUCACGCAUGCUACAAUGGCCGGUACAGAGGGCUGCAAUACCGCAAGGUGGAGCGAAUCCCAAAAAGCCGGUCUCAGUUCGGAUUGAGGUCUGGAACUCGACUCCAUG